UACGAAGGGUGCUAGCGUUGUUCGGAAUUACUGGGCGUAAAGGGCUCGUAGGCGGUUUGUCAAGUCAGGCGUGAAAUCCCUCGGCUUAACCGGGGAACUGCGUCUGAUACUGGAUGGCUUGAGUUUGGGAGAGGGAUGCGGAAUUCCAGGUGUAGCGGUGAAAUGCGUAGAUAUCAGGAGGAACACCGGUGGCGAAGGCGGCAUCCUGGACCAACACUGACACUGAGGAGCGAAAGCCAGGGGAGCAAACGGG
rnacentral:rRNA from 1 species